CUUCCCUUGUCACUGAACUACAAAGACAGCCUCGGGCCGCAGCCGAGGCGGUAGCGGGGCGGGGUGAGGGUGUGUGAUCGGACGCCUUCGCACGCGGGGGCGCCGUGGGUGAAGUUACGCAAAGCCUCCGGGCACCGCUAGACUUCCGAGCUUCUGCAGGUCGUUAAGCCCUGGUUCGCGCUCGCGGGGAGCCCCUUUCGGCGGUGGGGCCGCCUGCUGCCUGCGUGCCCCCAGCCACCUCUCCGGAGGCCCAGCGCCUCCGGUGUGCCCGUUUCCCUCCGCGUGCGUGCCGGGGUCCCAUCGGAACAGAAAGUUUUGAGGGAGUUUACUGUUUGUGCAAGAUGACCGGUUGAGUAAAGAAGUCCAAAGUUUAUUAUCUGCAGAACAAAUAAAGCCUGGGCAAAGUGUCUUCUGAAGACCUGCCUGCUCUCCCCAGGGGCUGCUACAGGAUGCUGGGUUCCAAGUGGCCACGGCCCUUACCUUCUGACUCAGGCAUGCUUCCUGUGGAAUGUCCAGUAUCUCUGGGAACAGUGUCCAGCAGCCACCAGUUUAAGUUUCCAGCAUCACAAAAUGGAAGGAGUUUGUGUUCCUUGGAAGAGAGCCUCUGAGGACAUUGGCCGGGCUUGCCCUGGACAUGAGGGAGGAAUAACCCUACGUAUGAAUCACUGAGAUCGUUGUUACAAUAUCCGCAGUGGGUGUGAAUAUUGUUCUCAAAGUGCUGUAAUACAUCUGUCUCUGGAGAAUUCUUGUAACGAACAAGCAGAAAUUUGAGGCACCACCGACAAAGUGGGUUGAACGGCUGGCCGCCUUCCAUUGUGUCUUGGGAAAGUCAACCGAAGUCCCCUGGAGUAAGAUUACAAGCAAAUAAAUAACUUUGUGUGGAAUUUCUAUAAAGAGAAGUAUGUGUGUGUGUGUGUGUGUGUGUGUGUGUGUGUGUGUGUGCCUAAAUGGCUUGACUAUAAGCAACCAGUUGAAUUUGUUUUAAACAAUAUCCUUCAAAGUAACUAUUCUAGAUCAGCAUUUUGAAUUUUUUAUUUUUAAAUUUACAAACAGUGAAAUUUACUCUUUGGGGUGUAGAGUUCUAUAGUUUUGACAAACUCAUAGUUGUGUAAACACUACCAAGAUGAAGAUACAGAGCAGUUCCAUCAACACUCCUUUGGGCCGUUUCUUUGUAGUCAAACCUUUCAUCCCAAACCCUGAAAAUCUUAAAUAUAUGAUUAUAUAUAUGAUUAGCUUCUACAAUGACUAGAACAGUGUCCUGGAAUCAUAUUUUAAAUAUAUAUAAAUGUUUAUAUACAUAACAAAAUGAGUAAAACAACAUCACCUGCACAUUUUAAAGGAAGGUUUUAUGUAUAAGAUUUCAUAUGUAAAUAACAAGAAAGCCAACUUUUCUUGGUCAGGAAAUGUUUACUUUGCUCAGUACAUUCAUUGAGUGCAGGGACAGGAACCGAACCCACUAUUGUACCAACUUGAAUAAAAGUGCUUAUGACAUGUGCAUUGGAUUGAAUGUCAACCCACCAAUUUGUACUUACAAUUUUAAAAGCUCAUUACAGCUAUACCUAAAGAUGGGACACUUAGUGUCACAACUGUGCCUUAAAAACAGCCAAGAAAAAGAGGUGAGGUAACGAGGAAGAGGUGAAAGAUUGUGUGUGUGUGUGUGUGUGUGUGUGUGUGCGCGCCCAAGCUAGCCCUCUAGAUUAAUGAUAGAAAUUGACUUGUUUUCGUACAUGGACAAUACUAGAUAUGUAUAUGACUAAAUGACUGGGAGCUAAUGAUCUUAAGGAGAGAACUAUUAGAAAAAUUAUUAAUUCAGAUUUUAGACUUAUGUUUGCACGGGUGAUCUUUGUUUACUUCAAUAAGACACCAGGAUUUAUAUGAAAAUACUGAGUAAGGUUGGAUUCUUAUCAGGAAAGUGUAAGAAGUGUCAGGAGUAAUUCAGCAUAGCAUCUCUUUCUUACAGGGCAUAUUGACAAAAUUACUAAAGAAAUCUUAUUUUAAGCAAAUAA